rnacentral:snRNA from 1 species
GUGCUCGCUUUGGCAGCACAUAUACUAAAAUUGGAACGAUACAGAGAAGAUUCACAUGGCCCUGUGCAAGGAUGACACGCAUAUUCAUGAAGCGUUCCAUAUUUGA